CCACGCCCCUCCCUGCCCCGCCGCCGCCGGCCGCCACCGCCGUUGCCUCUCCCCACAUUCGCUCCUCCUCCCCCCCGCAUCUCCCUCCCUCCCACACAGCCUCCUCUCUCCCUCGCUCGCUCCUCAUCUGGCGACGGUGGCGGCGGCUCCCGCGCCCACGUUAUUCCUCCCACCAACCAUGGCGCUCCUUCCCAUCGCCAUGGACGAGCUUGAGCUCCAGGUGCUCCUUCUCCGCCCAAAAGCCCAAGGGCUUUGCGGGGCGGCAAGGGGCUCAGACUCAACCCGCCAACCCUAGCUGCCCCACGCCGCCGCCGGCUCCUCCUCCCUGCCUGCCGGAUCCCGUCGUCCGCAUCCCCGGCGUCGUCGCCGUUGCCAUCAUCCUCGCGUGCACUCGGCAGGAGAAGUGCAGCUCUCCUCUUAGCCCGUCUCAGUUCUCUCUUGCUCUCUCAGUCUACUUUCCAAACCCUAACCCUAACCCCUCUCCUCUUCUUCAUUAACUGUCGGCGAUUGGCAAGCGGAGCACGAGUCGAGUUGCGCCACCCCCGAUUCUGCAGUGCGCCCGACGACUACUUUUGCAACAGCAGCGGUGGCAAGCCUUGGACUGGCUCGGGACACCAGAAGCGGGCAAUGAAGGCCAUUGCCAGGUCGUUAUGCUGGUUUUCUCUCCCUGUUGAUUGUUUAGCUCGACAAAAAUUGUCACAUUAUCAAGAGGCUCCAAGCGGUGUCACGGUCAGGAACCUUUUUUCCAGACAGGAAGAGAUGGUCAGGUAAUCAACCAUAUCUUGGAUUGUGUUUUUUGUGGUUUGUGGCAAAGUAAUACUCUUCUUUUCAAAUGUAUGGACUAAUAGGAGUCAUAAGUUGUACCUCAUUUCUGAUACAAAACUGAACUGGUUAUUUGGUUAUGAGAGACAUGUCAUGUGUCUGGUAUUCAGUGACAAGUCUGAAUGAAUAUAUUGAUCUGAGCAAGUAUUCAGUCCAUAUACUUGCGUUGUUGAUAUUUGAUUUUUAUUUUCUCAAUUAUAUGGACGUGUUAGUUCUUUAAAGAUCUCUCAGCUAUAAAAUUGUUCUAGGCUACUUAGGAUCCAACAAAUACUAGAGCGUAUAUACGCUGAAUUCUAUCCUUUCAGGUUAUUUCUGUUCCAUCCACUUCCAUUGUUGCAGGAAUCUUUUAGCGUUUGAUACUAUAUGGCAGAAUCUAUGCGUGCUAUUUCUGAUAAAUUUGAUCCCCCAUUUGUGGCUUAUUUCUCUAAUAGUUGCAUUCAGGGCUAUGCUAAAUCGAGUGAUGCUGCCGUUUAGUUGGCCAUUUGUUCUGGUUUACUUACAAGAUGAUACAAUGAUUUAAAUGGACCAUGCAAAUUUGUAUGAGCAGGCCUAAGAACUGUUCAUUCAGUUCCAAGACUGGAUUUGGUAUAAUCUUGGAUUGGCAACCAUUAUUCUGUUCCUAAUGUUCUGGUUGCCAUCAUGUCAUUUCCAAAUUACAAUAAGGUGAGCAUUGUAGGCUGAGAGAGAUCUUCUGAUAUUUUCAAGCCACAUCUUCACAAGGUUGCAAGUGACACACAGUUCGAAGAUUGUUGAUAUCUGAAGGCUGAGGCAAAAUUUUCAGUAACUACAAAGAGGGUACCAGCAUCAUCAAAUAAGAACAGUUCACCAGGUAAUUUUAUAUGUUUCCUAUAAAUGGUUUGAUCGACAAUCAGAGCUCUACAAUUAAUUGCACUACAUGUACCAUGUGCUUAUAUUUGCAUUGCUUAAGAACUAUUAUGAAUGCUAAAAGUCUUUUAUCUAAACCACAACAAGCCAAAUAAGUAAAUAGCAUCCAUAUGGUACCAUGUGACAUUUUUUUGUUCUACCUUGCUAUGCAUUGUGUACAAUUGUCUUUAAUUAACACGUAAAUAGCAUCCACAUGAUCAAAUCAACUGAGAGGGUGCUUGGAUACGUUUUAGUCCCAUGACUAAAAGUAGUGGGGCUAAAACUUGCUAGCCUCACCCAUGCUUGGAUCCAAAUACUAAAGAGACUAAAAUCAAGUUAUUGAGCAUUUGUUAUCCUCCAAACCCUCCAAUCCAGAACUCACAUGUGUUAAAGGAGAGGAAUUAAAUGAGGAGAGAGAGGGCUAAUACAUAUUUUAGUAGGUUUCCUAUGACUAAAUUUUUUUAGCCUCAAGACUAGUCCUAGCCUCUCUUUAGUCAGGGGUGCUUGGAACUUUAGCCUCUAAAAGAGACUAUUUUUAGUCAGACUAAAAAUAGUCCCUUGGAUCCAAGCACCCUCUGAGCUUAACUCACAUAUAUAAAUGCCGUCUUUCUUUUUGUCUAUCAAUCUGCGGUGAUAUUUGGUUAGUACUCAGAAAAGUGUCCAGUUUGAUCCAUUAUAUAACAAACUUGAUUUGUUUGAUCCUUGUGUGGUGGUAACUGUCCAUUACCACUGGUUCUAUAAACCAUAUUCUUGUUCAUGUAAUCAAGUUAACUCAGAAAUGAUGGACCCAUUCCAGAUAAAUAAAGAAGCACAUGAGCUUUUAAAGCUUACAUUGAGCAAGACCCGAGUCAAUCUAACCUACUGUCCACUCUCCAUUUGUGCAUCUUAUAUAUAGAUGCUUAUUUAUUUACAAAUCUUCUGGAUUAUUUGACUACCAGAUAUUUCAAUGUCAACUUUGAUGCAUGAAUGUAGAGUAUAUCAGAAAGAAGGUAAAGACGUGUAUGCAACACAUUUUAAGUUGUUAAAUAGUUUGGUUCUUCUAGCAGUAAGAUUUUGUUCCUUUUACAAGGCUAUUUUUGCAAGCUUAUUUGUUUAACUGGAGGGCCUAAUUAUGAUUUUGUUUCUUUUUAUUUGUAAUUGAGGUUCAUGUAUAUUGGAGGUGGAGGAGCACAACAUGAAACAUCGACGUCCUUCCCAAGCACUCACCCCUCACUAGGUACAAUCUUGCACAUUAUUUUGUUACUACUGGUAUAUUGUCAAGUGAUGUCAUUUUGUGUGUAUUUUAGAACCAAAGUAAGGUCACUCAACGUGCCAGGCGAGCACCCUAGCCUUGAAGUCUCACAGCCUAGGCACUGUAGCCUCUUGCGCAGCGGUGGCCAAGAGUGGACGCUUGCUUUGCUUUCUCUUCCGUUCCCCGCCGGCCAUAUUGAUUUGCUUUCCUAGGUUCUGUUAUACUAGAUGUUUAUUCACCUGUUGUGAUAGCAUAUCUGAUUGUUUAUAUUGUUUGACAUGUAUUCCAUGCACGGAGUCACUUGGUUGUUUGAUGUGUUCGUGCUCGUCAGCGGGACGGUGAAAGGCGCAACUCCGAUGCGGUUCCUCGCUGGUUGGACGGCGUUCAAGCGCAACCCCGACGCGCACUGAGUACUGCCUCGGCUACAAACUCCCUCGGUGAGCUCCAUCUUCCUAUGGGACAUGGCCAUGGCUAUAUUGAUGUGGGUCUCGUUUGGUUGAUGCUCUAUGCCCUACUCAUCCAUCGGUUCCUACUUGAGCUAUGUAGUUGUGGAUCCAUGCCAUUUAGAGUUUGCAGGCUGUUGUUCAUGUUUAGUUGCUAUCAUGGGAGCUCAUGUGAUGCUCUGGUUUACAUGUGGAUGCACUGGUCCUAUAGCUAUGCUCCUGGAUUUGCUAGAUUGAUCGGUGGCGUUCGUGCUAGGGCGAUGAUGAUUAAUCAUGGCUGAAAUAAGUGUGCCGUUGAGCAAUCAUGGCACCUGUGCGUAUCAGGUUGGAUCCUCCCUCUUGUCUCUAGAAUCCCUUUUGAUCCUGUGAUACUUGUUGUUGUCCUUGGAUGGUCAUUCUUGUUGAGUGAUAACCAGGGCAGCUCCAUUGUAUAAACAGAUUGAUCUGGUGAUAAGAGAUGACGGGGUAGGUUAUAUGAUCGAGGAAAGGCGAAUCUGAGACCACUGUGCAAUGAACCCUGAACCCUUUCUAUUUGUAUCCCCUUGUUAGAGUAUGAAGCAAAAUGGAGCUCUCCCGUUCAUUUGGAUUCUGGACCGUUCGAUCGUUUUCCUGAUGCGAUUCCGACCGUCGGAUCUCGGGCUCGGCUCACGUGAGGCGUUGGAUAUUUACCAAAUCGUUGCGAGCCGUUGGAUAAAAUUCCAAUUGAAACAAAAUGGAAAUACCAUGCCCCCAUCAGGGCAUCUGUGUCAUUUCGUGUACCGGCUAUAAAAUGACCGCGGCUUCCUGCAAUGAAAACCUAGUGGCCGCCUCCUCUCUCACUCGCUCCUGCAGCUGCCUCCCUCCCUCCCUCCCACACAGGUGGCUUCCACCAACCACGGCAGUAGCGGCCACAGAGGAGGGCAGCAGACCAGCGGCGCCGGCGAUGGCGUCCGUGGCAGCUAUGCAAUGAACCCCGAACCAUUUUUAUUUGUAUUUAAAGGGGUUGCUUAUUUAUGCUCAAGUGGUGUUCGUGCUAGGGCGAUGAUGAUUACCUUGGCUGGAAUUAUUGUGCCUUUGAGCAAUCAAGGCACCUGUGGGUAUCAAGUUGGAUCCUCCCUCUUGUCUCUAGAAUCCUUUUUGAUCAUGUGAUACUUAUUGUUGUCCUUGGAUGGUCAUUCUUGUUGACUGAUAACCAGGGCAGCUCUACUAUAUAAAGAGAUUGAUCUGGUGAUAAGAGAUGAUGGGGGUAGGUUAUAUGAUCGAGGAAAGGUGAAUCUGAGCCCACUAUGCAAUAAAACUGCAGCUACCUCCCCUAAUGUGUGUAGUAUUGAAGGCAAAAAACAACUUUUCAUGUCUUUCUACUUUAAAAUUCCAAAAAGGUUCAUUCUUCCUUUGCUGGUUACUUAACCAUGAUUUUUGUUUUGCUUUGGUUCUGGUUGAGAUACUAUAGGUUGUUUAUAUAUGAAAAUAACAAACACUUGUAGUUUUGUAUGCCUCAGCUGUUGCUUAGGAUCCAGUGUUGUAGUGCUUUGCCUAAUUGCAAAUAACUCUAAUCAAUAAUAGUGGUUCUUUCCUUCUGAUUUGAACUGAGAGAACCACAUCUUAAGGUGACCCCAUUUUUCUAUGCCUCAUGCUCGUGCUGCUCUAUGUUCCCUUUAAAAAAUUCUUGCUAGCAUUUUGGGUUGGUUUCUGCUCUAUGUUCCCUUUUAGCGUUUCUUUCCGUUAGUAAAGGAGUAAAGCAUUUUUGUUGUCCUAUGACUAUGUUCAUGAUUUUUCUUUGCAGACAAUAAAAGAGGUCUUGGCUACAGGGAUGAGACCCACAUGUUUGGGAACAUAUUUUUUCCCUGUAGAAUACCUUUUAUUUCAGCUUCAUUAGAUGCACAUAUUCACGAGAUUACAUUUAGCUAGAUUUAGAUUUUUCUGUGAUGUUUUCUUAGGUAUGCUUGCUCUUCCCAAAUGCGUUGAUGGUUUAAUGAAAUGCUCUUUGCACAUAAGUACUUUAACUUAUCGUAAUUAGAUAGGAUGUAUGGAAAUCAACAUUUGGAAUACAAAAGCAUUGAAAGAAAUGUUCAAUAUCUCUCAUCCAAAGUUAUGGCUGUAGUACUUUUCAGAAUUCUUUAGCUGGCUACUUUCUCUUUUCUCUUUACUCCUCACUUUGCUAUUACGUCUUACAUGGAAAAUAUAGGGAAAUAUCUGAAAAAUAAGGAAGUAACAAACCUAGGUAUGGCUACAAACUGAUGUUAGGAAAUUGUGUAGAUUCUGGUCAUUGGUCGGUUCAGGUUCUUGCAUUUUUAUUUUUAUAGUACAAAACAACUCAGUGAGUUGCAUCCAUUGCAAAUAACAUACCCACUAGCCAGAUCCUUAUAUUUUUAUUUUCAAGUCAUUUGCAUUUCCAUUAUUUAUCUUCCUGAUGUAAGAACUUUAGUGUUUCAGUUGAUUUUUUAAUAUAAAGCACUCUUCAGGUUGCCUUCAAGAAGCUUUAUAUUGUAUAUGUUUGUUUUUUCUAUUUCAGCAAGCAUUGUAUGUACUCUUUUUCCUUUUAGUAUUAUCUAAUAGAGAAAAUCUUAGAGGUUAAGUAAGUGAACUCUUCAUCCCUUUCCUUGAGAUGUGAUUUAGCUUUACAGUUUAUUUUUUUUGUGAUUGGUGGACAAAAGCUUGCACUUGGCGCUUUGUAUUCUACUAACAGUGCAAGACCCAUACUAAUUUUCUUUUAGAGGUAACACUCUUAGUUUAUUCAUAGUGAGCAGUGUGACUUUACAUAGCAUUUACAUAAUUGAUAAUUGAUUAUAUAAAAUACAUUCUUGAAUAGGUUAUUCAUAUUUUUGUUUUUUUGCCCACACUUCCGUUUAGGGAAGCAUGAUCAAUCGUAUUUGUUACAGACAUCAUUUUGAAAUGUUUUGUCCUCUCAAGUUUAGUAUUAUUCACGAGUCAUAGUGUUUCUCUUUGGUUUGUUAACCGUAGUGGUGAUGUCAGCCGGUGAGCUUACUCUACCUCCGCUCUAUGACACAUAUUAGGACUAUGAUUUUAAUUUUGGUUUUCUUCUUUCCGUUUCGUCUUGCCAUUAUGUAAUUAUGUCAACAGGUCCUGCAGUGGGAACCAAAUGGUAGUUUGAUUUGAAUCAUGCUUGGUAAAAUCAAUAUGUAGUAAAUGUUAGUUUUGAGUUUGUGAACAACCAGAUCAUUUCUGUGGAUGCCUUGCGCAUAUAUAAUUAGCUCUCAUGUUGAUUUAGCUCAUGCAUUGGUCUGUAUAAUUGUUGUAGGUGAUUUGUGAGGAUAGCCCCAAUAAAUUUAUCUACAUCUGUACCUUCGUGUUUCCUGUUAAAGUGGUGCAAGCUAUGGCUUGGAGGUAGGUGUUCAUAUGACCUGAGAUAUCAUGUGUUGCUGAGGAGGUGAGCCAUCGGUGUGAGUUUCAGGAAGAGAUGACAACACAAGUGAGCUUGAUUGGUAAGUUCACGCAAAAGAAAAUGUGGUUUGUGGUGUUUCCCAUACGCCCUCAAGGUUAUCAUCAUGGUGCCGAUGACGAUAACACACACACACAAGUGCAAUGGUACUUUUUGGUGAUCCUAUCAUGAUAUUUUGGCCUCUAAAAUGUGUAGUUCGGCCAUGACAUAUUCCUCUUUUCCUAGCGUUUAUCACUGGUGACCUGAAACACAAGAUUAUGUUGUGCAAGAUCAUACCAUGACUUAAUAACUUCCUCUUCAGUUAUGUCAUUCAUUCUCAUUGGCUCAGUCAAUUAUAAUUGUUUGCACAUCUUUCACCUACUCCGCAUUGCACAAAGAGGAUCAGGAAGUUUCAUAUGGUAAAUGAUUUUCUUAUGAUAUAGCACUCCUGAUAGAAGCUUGAUUGUUAAUACUUUCAGAAAACUGGAUCAGGCACAAUGUUAAAGGACUAUAAAUCUGAUGGUUCAGUUUCACAUGCAAUUGACUUUUGUAUUAUUUUUUCCUACUUAUGCACUAUAUGCUAUAUGACCUUGGUGUGUGUAGUUACAAAAUACAGGACGGUUUGGUCAAAGGUUCAGACCACAGCGACUGCAGGAGCAUGCAUCACCUCAUGCGCUCUCCCCACCUCUUCUACAUGCUGAUGACCGCUUGCCACAUCAAUGCUGAGGGGAGGGGGGCAUAUGAUCGGUGCAUCACAACACAAGUAAAAUGGAUGGCAGGCGUGUCUACAGAGAUAUCUAUGUAAUUUUCUACUAUAUAGUUUACAACAAUGUUGUGUAAAAACAGUGUACAUAAGUUAUCCAGAACCACCACUAUGGUGUCUUUUUGGUGUUGUACUGAACCUUGAUACUUUGGUAUCAUGCUACAAAUUUAUAUAAAAUGCAUCAAUGAUGUGUAAUAAAUCUUUA